rnacentral:rRNA from 1 species
GUGGGGAAUAUUGCACAAUGGGCGCAAGCCUGAUGCAGCGACGCCGCGUGCGGGAUGACGGCCUUCGGGUUGUAAACCGCUUUUGACUGGGAGCAAGCCCUUCGGGGUGAGUGUACCUUUCGAAUAAGCACCGGCUAACUACGUGCCAGCAGCCGCGGUAAUACGUAGGGUGCAAGCGUUAUCCGGAAUUAUUGGGCGUAAAGGGCUCGUAGGCGGUUCGUCGCGUCCGGUGUGAAAGUCCAUCGCUUAACGGUGGAUCCGCGCCGGGUACGGGCGGGCUUGAGUGCGGUAGGGGAGACUGGAAUUCCCGGUGUAACGGUGGAAUGUGUAGAUAUCGGGAAGAACACCAAUGGCGAAGGCAGGUCUCUGGGCCGUCACUGACGCUGAGGAGCGAAAGCGUGGGGAGCGAACAGGA